rnacentral:rRNA from 1 species
UCGACGAGGUAACAAUACCUAGUGGCAGACGGGUGAGUAACACGUGGUCAACCUGCCUCUGUGUGGGGGAUAACUAGCCGAAAGGUUAGCUAAUAUCGCAUACGAUCGUCCGAGGGCACCCUUAGACGAUGAAAGGAGCAAUCCGCACAGAGAGGGGACUGCGUCCCAUUAGUUUGUUGGUGGGGUAACGGCCUACCAAGACCGCGAUGGGUAGCUGGCUUGAGAGAGCGACCAGCCACACUGGAACUGAGACACGGUCCAGACUCCUACGGGAGGCAGCAGUGAGGAAUUUUCCGCAAUGGGCGAAAGCCUGACGGAGCGACGCCGCGUGUGGGAAGAAGGCCUUCGGGUCGUAAACCACUGUCGAAGGGGACGAUACUGACGGUACCCUUGGAGGAAGCCCCGGCUAACUACGUGCCAGCAGCCGCGGUAAGACGUAGGGGGCAAGCGUUGUCCGGAAUUAUUGGGCGUAAAGCGCUCGUAGGUGGAUCGGCAAGUCCGCAAGCAAAGACCCGGGCUCAACUCGGGAAUCCGUGUGGAAACUGCCGACCUUGAGGUAGUCAGAGGAUGAUGGAAUUCCCGGUGUAGCGGUGAAAUGCGUAGAUAUCGGGAAGAACACCAGUGGCGAAGGCGAUCAUCUGGGGCUAACCUGACACUGAGGAGCGAAAGCUAGGGGAGCAAACGGGAUUAGAUACCCCGGUAGUCCUAGCCGUAAACGAUGGACACUAGGUGUAGGUGGUAUCGACUCCAUCUGUGCCGCAGUUAACACAAUAAGUGUCCCGCCUGGGGAGUACGGCCGCAAGGUUAAAACUCAAAGGAAUUUGACGGGGGGCCCGCACAAGCGGUGGAAGCAUGUGGUUUAAUUUC